ACACCGGCAGCUCUAGUGGUAGCUAUUUUUAUUGGGCCUAAAGCGUCCGUAGCCGGUUUAAUAAGUCUCUGGUGAAAUCUUGCAGCUUAACUGUGAGAAUUGCUGGAGAUACUAUUAGACUUGAGAUCGGGAGAGGUUAGAGGUACUCCCAGGGUAGAGGUGAAAUUCUGUAAUCCUGGGAGGACCGCCUGUGGCGAAGGCGUCUGACUGGAACGAUUCUGACGGUGAGGGACGAAAGCUAGGGGCGCGAACCGGAUUAGAUACCCGGGUAGUCCUAGCUGUAAACGAUGCGGACUUGGUGUUGGGAUGGCUUUGAGCUGUUCCAGUGCCGAAGGGAAGCUGUUAAGUCCGCCGCCUGGGAAGUACGGUCGCAAGACUGAA
rnacentral:rRNA from 1 species